UGUUCCUUGUCAUGUGAUAGGUCAUGGGAAUGGGACAAUUCUUUUUCCUAGUGCUCUCUCAGACCAACACAGACCAAGACACUGAGACUUACACAGAUUUACUGAAACCACAUUUCUGGGUUUUAACAAAAUUCAGAGAAAAAUGAAGGCAAAGUCUGAAUCCAAUUAUCAAAGAGCCUCUCUCAUGCUCCCAGAACUGAGGGCAGUGAUUAUGGGACCGCACAGGUCUGGGACACACUCAGUUGGAAACACCAUCAUGGGAAGAGAGGCCUUUCAUUCUGAGGGAAUCACUGCCCAGUGUGAAAAGAGAGAUGGAGGAUUGGGAGGAAGGAAAGUAACUCUGAUCAAAGCUCCUGGCUGGUGGAGGGAAUAUCAGUUGUGUGACACACCAGAACUUGUUAAGGAACUUGUGUAUGAAGAUACCCAUAUUCUGAACAAACUGAGAAUCCUGAUGCUGGGGUGCGUCUUUGUCUGGAAAAGUGCUGCUGGAAACAUUAUCCUGAACACUGAUAAGUUUGAGGCGGGAGAAAGAACACUGAAGUCUACAAGACGUUGUGGUGUGGUUGUAGACACACCAGGAUGGUGGAAGCUCUUUCUGGCUGAGUUCACUCUUCCCUCAGUGAGGUCAGAUAUCCUGGCAGGUGUUUCUUUGUGCUCUCCUGCCCCCAAUGCUGUCCUCCUGAUGAUUCCUGUGGAUACAUAUUUUACUGAGGAACAGAGGAAGGUGACACAGGACAACAUGAAGCUGCUGGGAGAGAACAUCUGAAGACACACUAUAGUGGUGUUUACCAGGGGGGCGUGGCUGAGAGACACAACAACCAUUGAGCAGCACAUUGAGAGUGAAGGGGAGGCCCUCCGGUGGCUCAUCGAGAAAUGUGGGAACAGGUAUCAUGUCUUUGACAGUAAGGGUGAAGACACUGAAACUUAGGUCACAGAGCUGCUGGAUGAAAUGGAGGAGAUGGUGUCAGGAAACUUUUUUCUGAUACCCAUUGUCUAGUGGAGACAAAGUCUGAUCCACAGCCAGAGGUCAAUGAAGAGGAAGAAGCAACUGGCAAGAUCGGACAAAUUCUCAAUAAAGACUGGGAUCGGAGAAACUGUGAUAGUCUGGAAAUAGCGAUGGCAUCAAAUAGAAGUAUGAGUGCAGCUAUUAACUGGGAGUACUCUCUCUUCUUUUCUCUCUCUUUCCCUUAGCGCUUUUUCUUUGAUUGAGGUUCAUCAUCAUUAUUGUCAUUUCUGUGCAGUCAGAGACAAGCCACCCUUGGAGAGCUCAUAACUGGGAGAGGGAGUGUUUGGCAGAAGAGCAGAGACCAUGGCAGAGCAGAAGGAGGUUGAGGCUGCCAGCAGCAGUAAGCAAGCAUUGUCUUAUUUUCAUAAAGUUGUGUACCUGACAGUGUUCUUCUUUCAUAAUCGUCCUGGUUUCAACAGGAACAGGUCAAAGUACAGACAUAAACCAGUUGACAUGCAGAGCUGAACAGCAUAUUCAGAGAAUUGCUGGAGAGGCAGUGGAGCAGGCAUGAGAUAGCCUAUCUACAGAGUCAUGAUCCCGUCACAGAGCCACCGAGUGGCUGAAAGGACAGCAGAAACGUUAUAACAGCUCUGGACUUGGCACCACAAGUAUGGAAUAUAUACACAGCAGUAACACAGGGGACUUUGAGACAUAUAUGAGCAACUAGCUCAUGAUGAAGAGAAACAUCAUGCAUUAACUUCUCUAGUUUAGGAGUAAAUGUGACUAGCCUCAGAAGACAACAGAGAUGUGACACAGAUUCUUCUACUUUAACCCACCCAACACUGUGAUGCUAUAUUGUGGACCAUUUAUCUGAAGUCAGUUUACGUUUUACAUUCUCUUAGUUUUUGAUUUGUAAAUAUGUAUUUACAGUAGAUGAUCUACUAACUGAAUAUAUACAGUAUAUUACACAUGUGCUGCCCUAUAAAACCCAUCUUUGAUACAUGUCCUAUGCAUUAUUGUCACGGCCGUCGUAUAAAGUGGACCAAAAUGCAGCGGGAGUCUGUAUACUCAUCUUCUUUUUUAUUGUCAGAAAGAAGGAAAAACAAAACAAAACACACGUAUACAAAAAUAAUGACGACAAACAGUCCUGUAAGGCACACAGCUAUACACGAAACAACUACCCACAAAAACCCAUGAAAAAACACCCCUGCUAAAUAGGACCUUCAAAACCCCGAAACACAUAAAACAAACACCCCCUGCCACAUCCUGACCAAACUACAAUAACAAAUAACCCCUUUUACUGGUCAGGACGUGACAAUUAUGUAUACAAUUCUAAUGUAAUACUGUCCUUAUCAAACUGUUUAUUGUACCAAUGCU
rnacentral:lncRNA from 1 species